rnacentral:misc_RNA from 1 species
UAUAAAGGAUAAAAUUUGGGUCUUAAAGUAUACUAGCUUUUGACUUAAAGUAUACUAGCUUUUGAAAGGAAAAGAGCAAUAUCAGCAGAAUUGAUAUUGCUCUUUUCCUUUUCAGAGUCUUUUUAUAUAUAUAUUUAUACAUAAAUAGUGGGUUUACUAUAAUAUUCUUUAAGCAUUCUUUAUUUCAACAUAAGAAAAAAAUUGGAGUUUUGUAUUUCGGAAUGUAAAAAAAAUGAAUGUCCCCCCCCUUUUUUUUCUUAUUUUUUCUUAGAAGACGAGUAAAAACUUAGAARAAAAAAAUAUGARAACGAAACAGUACAAAKGGAAGUCYCGGUAAUUUUCACAUAARAWAGGGGCGGAUGUAGCCAAGUGGAUCAAGGCAGUGGAUU